CAGACUUAUUGAAAGUUCCACUUAUUUCUCGCCCCCUUCCCGUAUAUCUCGGACCCGUCACCACAUCUCUCUUAUUUGAAGUUAAUUAAUUUAUAAGAGGGAAAACACAGAGCAUUCUCUCCUCCGACUGUCACCUCUCGAAACCCUAUCACGCUCUCUCCAAAAGGAUCCCCCCUUCUCCGCCUUAGUCUUUCACCGGAACCUUAAUCGGUUAUCUACUAUUUGUCCUCUCCACCGUUUACCACUUCCAUUGAACUGCUGACCUGAUGCUUCCCUCACUGUCGCCUGCCUUCACGAUGACACACUCAGUGAACAAAAACUACACCAUCCUGUCACUGAAGAAAGAAAGAAAAAGGUCUAAGCAAAUCAAAAUCGUAGUCUUUUUUUAUCUCUUCAUGUUAUUUUCAAGAUGGGGCUUGAUGUUGAUAACUGCAUAACAAGUAAAACCUAUAUUGGUUUCUUUAAUUUUUUUAAUUCCUUUCUGAAUAACUAUUCUGUAAAAAUAAUUUUGAAGAUACUGAUUCUUUCGAAUUUUGAAGAUCCAAAGCUGAUUACAAUAGAAAUCGGAUUUGGGGCUUUAAUUUUUUGGGUUUGUAACUUGACAUGUUUAUUGUUUUCUUCUUUUUUCUAUCCUUUUUUUCAGAUCUUUCUUUCUCUUCGUCUUCAUUUUCCUAUUAAUGGAGAGAAGUUUGAUAUGCAGGCGACAAUGGAAUGAGAUGUGUUUACCUAGGUGUUGGAUUCAACCAUAGAUCUUCAUCUCACCAUCAUCUAUCUCUCAGUUGUGAUUUAUCUCUUUAUUUUUUGUUAUGACAUCUGCGUGAGGGAUUCCUUAGGCUCUCUCUCUCUCUCUAAUCUUUUUUUUGUUUCCCAGGUUUGUAUUUAUGAUCGAAAGAUAUCUUCUUGAACUAUGUGAACUUUUGCCUCCAAAUGUCAUGACAGAUUAAGAGGGGCGAGAUCACAAGGGUUUUUAUGCUUCCUCCUUAAUGAGGUUUCCAGGUAACGGAUGAACAUGCUUCUUACACAAAAAUGUAUGUCCCUUAUUCUACUGUUGUAUCUCAUGUUUUUUAGUAUUAAGUUAAUUCCCCUUGAUAAUUUCAUUAAAUUAAAUUACUUUUAUAUGUGUCAGUAGGUAGAAGUUAUGCUCCAUGUUGAUAAUGCGUAUAAUACGCCUAAGAAAGGAUUGUGACAUUUGUUGUUUAAAUAUUCACAAGUUAGAAAAGAAGAAUGUUGAUUUGUUUAGUUAUCUACCAACUAAUAACAACUACUUUGUUAUUACUUUUUCUGAUGAUUUUCUUGAUAUGAAGAACCCAUUCAAAGUUGUUAUUUUUGUUUGUACACAAACAUAAACCACUCACCUUUGUUAUUUCCACCAUCGACUGCCACUAUCACAAGUCUUAAGUUAAAGGACUUGAAGGUGAUUUCCUAAUUUAAGCUUUCUAACAAAGCAUCUUUGAUUAACCUGUUUUGUCACAUUUGAUGCCGAAUUGAAAGGAGCCGGUUGAAGCCUCAACCUCGGUAUCUUGGAUUCGAACUACAGAUUUAUGGGUAUACAUUUUCAUUCUCAAAUAUAAUAUUAUAAAGCACCCAUGUUUGAUAUUGACAAACUGAUUGAGGUAACCUACUUUUUGAUCAUUUUGUUGAUUUUUUUGUGAGAGAUGAAUGAAACCGUUCUAUUAAUGAAAUAUACUCUCAAACAUCAUCUGGAAUGAAAGUUUUUAAUGCUCAAGUGCUUUUCAGCUCUGGUUGAUGUAGGAUGAUAGUCCACAUUAAGGGGAUAAAUCUAGACAUGCCAAUAUGCUUCAAGACCCAAAAGGUAAUUUACCAAUGCCUGUGGAGAAAUAGUGAUUUGGGAGCAACAUUUUACUCUUGGUUACUUCAAAAAAUGAUGAGAACACAAAGCAAGUCUACAAAGUAAUAUUAUAUCUUUUCCUUAGUAAGCACAAUGGUUGAAAAGCUAUUAAAUAGAGUUUUAUUUCUAUGUUAAUAAGCGCAGGGGUUUAAAAGCUAUUAAAUAAAGAGGUAUGUUGGUGUGUUUGUUAGAAAGAACAAGGGUUGAAAUGUUGUUCCUUGCAUUUUUCGGUCAGGGAAUCCCAAAACUAAAUAAAGAGAUAAAACCAUUCAUCAUGGAAAAUACUUUGAUGUAAAUGCAAAAAAAAAAGGUAUUUGACUGUGUGUAUGCAUGUUGUGUUGUGUGUUGUAUUGUGUGUAUCUUUGCGUAUAAAAUUAUAUUUUUUAAAUAGAAUUCAUAGUCCCGUUAUAACUUAA